GAUGAACGCUAGCGGGAGGCCUAACACAUGCAAGUCGAGGGGCAACAGGUUGUAGCAAUACAACGCUGGCGACCGGCGCACGGGUGCGUAACACGUAUGUAACUUGCCUACAACUGGGAAAUAGCCCAAAGAAAUUUGGAUUAAUAUCCCAUAGUAUUACGAAAUCGCAUGGUUUUGUAAUUAAAGAACUUCGGUUGUAGAUAGGCAUGCGGCUGAUUAGCUAGUUGGUGAGGUAACGGCUCACCAAGGCAACGAUCAGUAGGGGGCCUAAGAGGGUGAACCCCCACACUGGUACUGAGACACGGACCAGACUCCUACGGGAGGCAGCAGUGAGGAAUAUUGGUCAAUGGGCGCAAGCCUGAACCAGCCAUCCCGCGUGAAGGAUGAAGGCUCUAGUAGUUGUAAACUUCUUUUAUAUGGGAAGAAACCUGAGUACGUGUACCCAGUUGACGGUACCAUAUGAAUAAGCAUCGGCUAACUCCGUGCCAGCAGCCGCGGU
rnacentral:rRNA from 1 species